AGCCUCAUUCUACGUAAGAAUGGACACUGUUGGUCAAUGUGUCCAGAACUGGUCAAUGUGGCUAAAUUAAGACACAGGUCAUGCUUCCAUCACAGUAGCUAUAUUACAGUGGUGACAAUGAGACCUGUAACAUUU